GACGAACGCUGGCGGCGUGCUUAACACAUGCCAGUCGAACGGAAAGGCCCUGCUUUUGUGGGGUGCUCGAGUGGCGAACGGGUGAGUAACACGUGAGUAACCUGCCCUUGACUUUGGGAUAACUUCAGGAAACUGGGGCUAAUACCGGAUAGGAGCUCCUGCUGCAUGGUGGGGGUUGGAAAGUUUCGGCGGGUGGGGAUGGACUCGCGGCUUAUCAGCUUGUUGGUGGGGUAGUGGCUUACCAAGGCUUUGACGGGUAGCCGGCCUGAGAGGGUGACCGGCCACAUGGGGACUGAUAAACGGCCCAGACUCCUACGGGAGGCAGCAGUGGGGAAUAUUGCACAAUGGGCGGAAGCCUGAUGCGGCAACGCCGCGUGCGGGAUGACGGCCUUCGGGUUGUAAACCGCUUUCGCCUGUGACUAAGCGUGAGUGACGGUAAUGGGUAAAGAAGCACCGGCUAACUACGUG
rnacentral:rRNA from 1 species